AAAAAGAACAACAAGUGGGUGCAGCUAAAGGGGACCAAGGGACUUCCCCUGGAAAUGACUGGAGCAUAGACCAAUAGAUCAGUGACAUGAACCAACUUGGAAUGAGUUUGAGUCCAACAAAAUUAAUUUGGAAACAACAGUGUGAAAGAGAAAAGCAAUAGUUUGAGACAGUGGCUCUACACCCAAAGCUAACCAACAGGGUUGGUUAAAGCAAGACCCAACACCUAGGGUCUGCCAGAAGACAGAUCCUUGUUCAAUAGCAAACCAGCAGCAGUAUGUCACUUCUGGGGCAGACUACCAACAAAUUUUUUCUUCCAAGUGAAGUUGCAGAGACAACCUGAUGUAGCGUGUCAGAAGCUUUUUUCAGGAGCAAGAAGACCUAUAUCCAAGUACAGUUUAAACAUGUACUUACUGUGUGAUCCCUUCAGGUGUCACCUAAACACUCCAAUAUUUAGGUAAUACUUGAAGAAGAAAAGUCUCUGACCUGCAUUAAUAUAGUUUCCUCAUCUUGGGAGUUCCCAAUAUCAAUAAAAUUGC